CCUACGGGAGGCUGCAGUGAGGAAUAUUGGUCAAUGGACGAGAGUCUGAACCAGCCACGUCGCGUGAAGGAUGACUGCCCUAUGGGUUGUAAACUUCUUUUAUAUGGGAAUAAAAUGUUCCUCGUGCUGGACAUUGUAUGUACCCUAUGUAUAAGGAACGGCCAACUCCGUGCCAGCAGCCGCGGUAAUACGGAGGAUCCGAGCGUUAUCCGGAAUUAUUGGGUUUAAGGGGAGCGUAGGUGGAUUGUUAAGUCAGUUGGGAAAGGUUGUGGCUCAACCGCAGAAUUGCAGUUGAAACUGGCAAACUUGAGUACAGUAGAGGUGAGCGGAAUUCGUGGUGUAGCGGUGAAAUGCUUAGAUAUCACGAAGAACUCCAGUGGCGAAGGCAGCUCACUGGACUGCAACUGACACUGAGGCUCGAAAGUGUGGGUAUCAAACAGGAUUAGAUACCCCAGUAGUC
rnacentral:rRNA from 1 species